GCAGCAUAUAGACUGCUGAAUUAUUCAUGUGCCCAGCCAAGGCUGUGACUGGACUGGUUGUGCUAUUUGCAUGCAUCAGACAUGCUGUUUGUCUGUUUGCUAACAUUCCUCAUUCAAAGACUUGUUAACUAGCAGACGGGCUUAGCUGGAGCCUUGCAGACAGCCUCAUGGCCUCCUAUUGUUUCAGGCCUCUCACCAGGCCUGGACCCAGCCAGUGGCAGGCGAGCCGUGCAGCCCUGAGCUUGGGGCUCAGACUGUGUGGCUGGAAGAGGGAGUGAGGCUGUAGCUGAGAUUGAGGCUGGGGCUCAGGCUGGAGCAGUGGCUGAGGCACGGCUGUGAAAAGAGACAGUCUGAGGGAAAUCGCUGGGUCUAGAAAGAACUACCAAACGGGAGCUUAUGGCUUUCUCCUCUUCUUGACAGAGAUGUGGAUCAAAAGCGGGAAGAGCUGCCAAAUUUCGCAUCCUGUCCGGACAUUUACCAUCUUUGCUCUGAAAAAUCGGCAGUGAGAUGGGUUUUGACUCCAGCCACAGGCACAAACAAUUUGGCCAACAAGUGAAAUCACGUACAGACAGACUGGCGAUCGCAGCAGCAUUAAGUAGCAGAUUUUCGCUCGGGGAUUUUCAGACGAAGGCUACCUGACAUGUUGCUGAAAUCGCUACAGAGCCAGGUGAGAAACAUUAAAAACGGCAGCAGCUGCGGCCCUCUGCUGCGCACAUGUGGGCCAGGAUAUGAGCUAGCAUGAGCUCGCCCACUGUCAACACUGGUCACUAUUGUUAACACUCUCCUCUCUGAAGCACAAAAUCAGUACUGAGGAAAGAAAGGGAAGGCAUGGUGGAAUCAGUAUUUACAGUUUAUUGCAAUGUAUUCUAUGUUGGGAGCUGUCAUGUUUACUUACUUUAGGACAGUGGUUCCCAAUCGUUUUGAUGUGUGACUCUUUAAAGGUCCAGUGUGUAGGAUUUAGGGGGACAUAUUGGCAGAAAUAAAAUAUAAUAAGUGUGUUUUCUUUAUUGUAUAAUCACUGGAAAAAAAGAAUUGUUGUGUUUUUGUUACCUUAGAAGAAGCCAUUUAUUUCUGCAUAGGGAGCAGGUCCCCGACUACGGAGAUCAGCGUGUUGCACUGCCAUGUUUCUACAGUGGCCAAGAACAGACAAACACUGGCUCUAGAUAAGGCCUUUCCCAUUUCUGAGUUUGCAGCCCCUCUGCAAUGACAGCAAUGGAAAAACACUUUUGCAGACGCAGAUGGUGAGGUGGUGAAUUGACGCCAGAUUGUAGAAAUUAAAUGUGCGAGGAAUUGUAUAAUAAUGUCUCUCACACGUUUAAAUUCGCCUCAUAUCACACGGUACUUUUAGAUCCGCUUUAUCAUAAACAUUUAAUCCACCCACUUUAUUUUUGCUCAUGCUCGUGAGCCAUACUUUUUCCAUAGGCACCGCUCAGCUCAAUAUUUCAUCAGCUCAGUCUCACCAUCACAUUCCCAAAUCCAGAGCGCAGAGGAGAGGGGUAGACUGUGUGCUGCUGACGGUCGUGGUCAGCUGUGGAGCGCACAUCAAAUAGCAUUAGAUAAUUGCAAAACAGAGCGUCAACAGUUUUCAAUAAUAUCUUCCAAUACUGUUAGCACAUGUCACCAAGUACGACUUUAGUUUUCAUAUAGUGUUUGUAUGUAAAAAAUCACUGAGGUGAACACGACUAUGCACUUGGGACGUCACAGUGUUGCCAUACACACUCCCUCUCCAGUCACCUUACAUACAUCUUCACCACCUGCACGUGUAGAUUAUGUAAAUUAGUAAAGUCUAGAAAUAACGCCAGUGAUGGCUCUCACACAAUUAUUAUAACAAACUUAAAUAGAUAGAUAAAUCAUAAUAUCCCAGGGUCGGGGAUACACUGACUGUCACAAUCAUUUUGGCACGGUGUGAAACAAUCAGUCUAAAUGCUGUACACAUAUAAACACUGCACUGACACUCAGUUGUUGCCGUGAUUCACCCAUAAAGACACUCAUCAGCAGGCUCAUUUCUAUGCAUCAGCAUUCACGAGGGGCUUUGCAUACAUCAUUUAUAGUUGAAUGUGG